rfam:Parcubacteria bacterium GW2011_GWA2_38_27 TS88_C0001, whole genome shotgun sequence.
GCCUAGGUGGCGGAACGGUAUACGCUCAAGUCUCAAAAACUUGUGAGAGCAAUCUCGUGUGGGUUCGAUUCCCACCCUAGGCA